rnacentral:rRNA from 1 species
UACGUAGGGUCCGAGCGUUGUCCGGAAUUAUUGGGCGUAAAGGGCUCGUAGGCGGUUCGCCACGUCGGGAGUGAAAACUCGGGGCUUAACCCCGAGCCUGCUUCCGAUACGGGCAGACUAGAGGUAGGCAGGGGAGAGCGGAACUCCUGGUGUAGCGGUGGAAUGCGCAGAUAUCAGGAAGAACACCGGUGGCGAAGGCGGGUCUCUGGGCAGUAACUGACGCUGAGGAGCGAAAGCGUGGGUAGCGAACAGG